UGCCUAUUAGCUCAAUUGGUAGAGCUUUUUGCGGCUGCACAAGGAUGUAGGUUCGAAUCCUACAUAGGCAA
rnacentral:tRNA from 1 species